UGGGAAUAUGCCCUUCUCUAAGGAAUAGCCUCGGGAAACUGAGAGUAAUACCUUAUACGCCCUUCGGGGGAAAGAUUURUCGGAGAAGGAUUAGCCCGCGUUAGAUUAGGUAGUUGGUGGGGUAAUGGCCUACCAAGCCUACGAUCUAUAGCUGGUUUGAGAGGAUGAUCAGCCACACUGGGACUGAGACACGGCCCAGACUCCUACGGGAGGCAGCAGUAGGGAAUCUUAGACAAUGGGGGAAACCCUGAUCUAGCCAUGCCGCGUGUGUGAUGAAGGCCUUAGGGUCGUAAAGCACUUUCGCCAGAGAUGAUAAUGACAGUAUCUGGUAAAGAAACCCCGGCUAACUCCGUGCCAGCAGCCGCGGUAAUACGGAGGGGGUUAGCGUUGUUCGGAAUUACUGGGCGUAAAGCGCACGUAGGCGGAUUAGUAAGUUAGAGGUGAAAUCCCAGGGCUCAACCCUGGAACUGCCUUUAAUACUGCUAGUCUUGAGUUCGAGAGAGGUAAGUGGAAUUCCGAGUGUAGAGGUGAAAUUCGUAGAUAUUCGGAGGAACACCAGUGGCGAAGGCGGCUUACUGGCUCGAUACUGACGCUGAGGUGCGAAAGUGUGGGGAGCAAA
rnacentral:rRNA from 1 species